GCAGCACACACAAUGUGAUCACCAGAGAAAUCACGCAGUUACAGUUUUUUUUUAGUUUUUCUUCACAUGCAAUAAACACCACACACCAACUGAAACCAAAGAUGUCCCUUAAUAAUUAUCUGACUACUUUGGGGAAUUCAUAGAGAAUUGAAAUUUAAAGGUGGUCAGUUUAUCCCUAAUUUAUUAUAGCGAAAGUAAUGCACCCUGUUCUGAUGCAGCAGAACUCUGUGAAUUUCACGCCCUUCAUCCCAAUGCAAAUGCACUGAAGUACAUCACUGACGAUCUACAAAGUCUUCAUUUCCUCACAUCAACCAACAUAAAACGUGGUUUUCAACAUGCCACAAUGCGUGGCAAAAUGCAUGGAUAUAAAAAAUAUACUUAAAAAUGAAUACAAUAAAGAAACUCUUAAGGUCAGAGUGAUUAAAUCCUAACAUUUUCUUCAAUGACUUACUUUGGAUCAGCGGACUGUGGUAUAUCAGUGGAGACGUUUGUUUGGAAGAGGUGGAAAUUUAAGAAAGAUCAGGUUCAGAGAUAAUUUAAGGCGUCUGAAAUUGUACUAUUAAAAUAUUCUAAUUUAUUUAUGCAGCCAAACAGGUUAUGAAUGUUUUAUACCCAAAUCAGGUCUUUUUACCUUUGUUGUUGGGUUCCAAGGUUUCAUUUGAAGGAUAAAACCCCACUUCCUCCUUGUAAUUCACAUAAUACCGGUGUUUUGUUUUGCCUUUUUGUGUCGACACAAGGCUGGUGCUUUUAAGCCGUUUAGAUGGAGUUACAGUGUCCAUUAGAGUGAAUAGGGGUGUACUGCUUCAAUCUGGGGGGAUAGAGUUUCACUUAACACCUGUUCAGUGGUCAGGGCUCCAUUCGCUCUCAGAUCCAGAAAACGUCUGCUCCAUCGAAACCAUUAUAAUUCACAGUUCAACAGAGAGAAAAGCAGGGAGGGAGGAAAGCGACUAUCUGCGCUGUUUCCUAAAAGAAAUCGGCUUACUUUUCUAAAAGCCUGGGGAGCCCAAUCAAAUUCAAAUAGCAGGGAACUUCCCUUCCAGGCAAGUCUUGAGGGAUUUUCUUUAAUUUGGAUGUCAGACUCAAAAGUUUGCACACUCCUCUCAUCCUAAAAUCCGUUAAUGUGCAUAUAUGGCGCCACAUGAGAGCUAGGUGGUAAUUUUUUUGAACAGACUUCGGAAACACUAAGGAGCCAGUCUAAUCCAGGUAGAUUUUGUGGUUUCCGUUCCCCCCCCCUAGGAAUAGGCAUUACAAACAUAUUCUUAGCAGUCAUUUAAUUUCUUUCUUUCCUCAAAGAAUCACUAGAUAGCAAUUUCUCCUUUGAGUUGUGGCCUACAUCAGCCACAGUGUUGAAGGGGAUGUUAAAUUAGAGCAGAAAAUAUUCCCAAAGGUUCCUCCCGCCUCCCCUGGGCCGAGCCUUAAAAAUAAACACUCAGAAACACUCCAGAUUAUGUAAACACAUUUCUCUUAAACGCUUACGCGAGAGCAGCGACUGAAUAAACAGCACUUCUUUCACUCACUUUGGAAAUCAGUAAGCAAAGAGCACAUUUUUAAUAAACUCGGCGAGGACGACAGAAAUUAGAAACCCGAAUCGACUCGUCUUCUGCGGCGUGGAGACAGGAGUGCAGGAAUUUCUCUCGGCAGCUUAAAGGUGGCUGCCACUCACAUCGGCCCAGCUGUAGUCUCCUUGUCUCCCCUGCCCUCCCUCCCUGUCUUUUCUUUCUCUUGCUCACUGUGACAAGGCAUCUUUCCAGACAUUUUAGUUUGAUGGAGAUUUGCAGCAGCUCAUUACAGACUGGGAGGCUCUGUGAGCGGAUGCAGUCACUCGGAGAUGGAUUGAGUGGGUCUGUUUAUUGACAUGCCUUAAUCUGACACUGGGUAAAGGGAAUGAGUCACCGCCUCCAGACACACUGCCACAUCACAGCCACUCCAGCAAACAGGGAGGCAGCACCUAGGAUACGAGUGGAACUUCAUCAGCGCUCAUUAAUCUAGCAACCCCAGGCCACUCGCUCAAACAAACCGUGUUUACACUGCAUGUUGGCUGGAUGGGGGGGUGAUGGAGCUUUUCAAAGGGCAUGUGUGCAGGUGCUCGGAUCUCUCACACACAUAAAUGCACAAACUGUGACCACACACAGGCACACAAACAUACAAACUUCGACUCAGGCUCAUAAAAAGGGAUUCCUUCCAUUCUCCUUGCAUAUGGAAACAGCUGCUAUCAAUUGAAAGUUUUGUCACGUUACGACAACAAGCUGCAAUGUAUUUUACUGGGAUUUAUGUGAUAAGCCAACACAAAAUAGCAUAUAUUAUGAACAUAAAACAUGGUUUAAACAUUUGCUUAUGUAUUCACCAAACUCAAUUUAAACCCAGUGUAAACAAUUGGUUAAUUACAAAACAGAUGUAUGUGAUGUAGUCUCGAUAUACUACAUGGAAGAAGAUUGGACAUUUGAGCCUACAUGCAAAAAAAAAAAAAAAAAAGAGUAGAU